UGCCUCUUGAAGGAUACUUUUAUGUUUGACAGGGAGUCAAGAUCCUGUCUAUACCAGAAGUAAAGGCAUUCCGGCAUAUUUACACUCAAGAUAUUGCAUGGAUUGGAAACAAGAAGGCAUGUAUAUAGGCAACAAACUUUCAUAGUUGCAUCUUUCCUGUUGAUGUUUACAUUCAGGAUUUCAUUAUUUUAUCAGAUCCUAAAUCUUCUGAAUCAACAUAUAUUAAGG